GCAUUUUCUCUGAAAGACCGAAGACAGUACGAUGAGUACAAGAUAUCAGAGAUGCUGCGGCGCCAUGGUUGGAUUGUUCCAGCCUAUCCUAUGCCACCUGCUGCUCAGCACAUAAAUGUACUCCGUGUGGUCAUAAGGGCUGAGUUUUCACGCACCCUUGCUCAACGCCUUGUUUUUGACAUACACAAUGUGCUGCAUGAGCUUGAAAAGGUGCAUGUUCCGAAAGUGAUGAACAACAUUACGGAAGAGAAGAAGGAUGUGGUUGAGAGCGGGGUUAAGAAAAGUGCGUUGGAUGCACAGAGGGAAAUCAUUGGUCAAGAGUCCAACAAGCGUCAGAAAAUCAUGGCUGUGUAGCUAGGGAACACUGUGUCACCAUGCUAAUUGAAUUAGAAGGCUUCACUAUUUGUUCUAACUCCAUCCAAAAUACACCUUAACUAUAGUUGCUUCAUUCUUUUCUUAAAAUUAUGUCAUUUAGCUUACUACCCAAUUAGUUUAUUUUCCUACAAAUUUAUGUGAAUUGAGAUACGUAGUUCACAUUAAUGUAUUUUUUCAAAGAUUCCACCACAUUGAUUUUGUUGUGAAAUCUCAGUUAAUGCAUUUGUAUGGUUUUCUACUCCCUACACUGUAAUACUCCUUGACGUAAAACUUCACACUAAAGGCUUUAUAUGUUCCUGAUUGUUGUACUAGAGAAUUGGUGUAACCAACAAAUUUAAUGUAACUUUCAUCCACGUAUGAAAGAACUCCAAUAAGUACAUUGGUAUAACUAUUACCAAUCCACAAUUUUUGUUUUUGAAUUAUAUAUUUGAUUUUCUUUACCAAAUUUUACUUCCUUCAUUUUUAAUUAUGCAUAACUUUGGUUCUUAAUUUUUUUUUUAUUUAAUUUUGAUCCCUUAAUUUUAAUUAUCCGUAUAAUUCUUUUCUUAAUAAAACAGAUGUUGUUUUUUAAAAAACUAAGAAUAAUAUGUCUAAAAAACUCCCUCAAAAAAUAAUUUUGUUAGUAUUAACGGGAAAAUCUUGAUUAAUAUUGAAAAAACAAAUUUGAGAAACUUUUCCUUCCAUUGAUAAAAAAUAAUCUCAAAAUCUGAUUAUUAUAAGAUGAAAAGUAGUUCUAUCAAAGUUGAUCAAGAAAACAUUUAUUAAUUGGUAAAAAAAAACUAUUGACAAAAAACAUAUUGAUCACAUUAGGCAAUAGGCAAGAAACAGAAUUCAUAACAUCGAUUAACCUAAUUGAUAUCAAUAACAAAAAAAUGAUGUGAAGUGGAUGAUGCCCCAACCUCAAGUGAAUGAGUGAUAUUUAGGUUGAGUUGAGGAAAUAACAUUAAGAAAAUAAAUAAAUUUGUUAGAGGCAAGAAUAUGAAGAUUACAUUGUGUGUUUGAAUACCCAGAUUUUACAAUGUGAUAUUUUACGAUUUUAUUUUACAUGUUAGUUUUUGUUUUAUCUACACUACAGAAAGGACUAGCUGAAAACUUAUAAGGUGCUAUGCUAGUGUUGACAUUUGAAAAAGUAAUCUAAAUAAUUAUUAAAUAUUGUAAUUAAAAAUUAUAAAAUAAAUAAAUUUACAUUUUUUUAAAAUAUUCUAAUUCAUUAUUCAAUAUUAAAAUUAAAAAGUUGUAAAAAUAUAUGAACUUUUAAAUAUAUUAACAAAUAAAAGUUGGAUGAAACAGUUGCAGGAAAAUUAUUAACUGUUAUAUGAAUUAUAUGUGGAGAAAAUAAUUAUAUAUUUAGGCAAUUUUGAAAAAAAGUUGUGUAAACUAAAUGAGAGAAUGUAUCUAAAUUUUUAAUAUUAUAGGGUUAUAGGAUUAUAUAUGUUGUUUUAAUUAUUUAAUAUUAUUUGUUAUUAUUAAGAGAUAAAUAAUUUAAAUAUUUUGAUUAUUUUAAGUUUUAAUUUAAUUUCUGAAUAAAGUACAUACAUUCUUGUACAUGUGAUGAGAAUAUAAAACUAGCUUAUCAGAAUAUUUGUAAAACAUAUUAAAAUACUGAGCACAGAUAUUACAAUUUCCACAAUUUCUCUAUUGAUGUUAGAGCUACAACUCAAAUUAUGUUGUGAAUCAUAAACCUUACAUUUCAAACUUUAAAUGGUUGCUGCAAAAAUCAAUUUUGGUGUUGAUUGCUAAGUUAUUUACAAUAAAAGAAAUGAAUUUAUUAUAUAAUAUUUGUGACUAACUAUUUUAUUUUAUUAAUAUAUAAAAAAAGAUUUGAAAAAGUUGGCAGGAAGAUACAAUAAAUAGGCGAGGUGUCCUAGGAACAAAAUAAAUAGUAGCAGUAGAUCCGCUAGUAAUAAGUAGUCACUAACAACACAAUAGUAAUAACUCAUUUGCUUUCCCUAGAAAUUACAGAAGGCUAAAGUUACAAACAUGCAAAGAAAAUCUGCAAUUAAUAAAUACUACUACCCCCCUCUUCAUUCACACAUCUAUUAAACUUUUAUGACCUGAUUGAAUUGUGGGAAGGAAUAAGUGGAUUAUAAAGGAUUAGAUGGGAUGUAUGAGAAUGUAAUAAAAAAUAAUAAAAACAGUAAAAAAAAUAUAAUAAGAAAAUAUAAAUAAAUUUAUAAAAAUUAAUAACAAUAAACACAUCAACAAAAUGUAAAUGUAUUUAUAACAAUUUAAAAUAGUAUUAUUAAAAUUAAAAAUAAUAAAUACAUAAAAAAGACAUAAAACGUAUUAAUAAAAAAUGUAAAAACAUUAAACACAUAAUAAUGUAAAAAAUAAAAACAAAUAAAAAUAUUAAAGUUAUAAAAUAAAAACUAAAUAGUAAACAUAAUAAUAAAAACUGUAAAAUCAACACAUAAUAAUGAAAUAAUUAAGAAAAGUAAAUACAUUUAGAAAAAUAAAAACUGUAAACAAUAAACAUAGAUAAAAGAAUAUAAUUACAUUUAUUAAAAAUAAAAAACAGUAAACUUAAUAAAAAAAAAUUUUAAAUAAAAAAAAAUUAAAAACUUACAUGAAGGAUGAAGGCUCUUCUAAGAAGAAGAAGAAAUUGGAGAAGAAGAAGAAAAAAGUCUAUGACGAACAAAACAAACCAAAGAAUCAUUGCUCCAAGAUGCAAUCUAAAAAAAAAAAAAUCAAUUUCAACACUUUUCUCACAUAGGGAGAAUUGAUUCUCCUACUACCUUUAAAAGGCAUAGAAUCAAUGUCUCGUUUUACCUUUAAAAGCCACAAAAUCGAUUAUGCACCAUUUGGAAAAAUCAAAAAUCGAUUUUGCACCAUUUGGAAAAAUCAAAAAUCGAUUUUGCACCAUUUGGAAAAAUCGAUUAUGCACCAUUUCGAAAAAUCGAAAAUCGAUUAUGCACCAAUUUACAAGGAUAGGAAAAUUGAUUCCGCACCAUUUGGAAAAAUCAAAAAUCGAUUCUCAACUAAUUUACAAAGAGACGAAAAUCGAUUAUGCACUUCCAAAAUUUGGAAAAUCAAUUCUGCUUCUUCAAACCAACCACCAUAAUCAUUUUAAAUAAUUUUGAAUCUAUACUGCUGUUAAAAAAAAUAAAACAAACCAGUUAGUUCGUUCCUCAAACCACCUUUCUGAUUCCUCAAAGUAUCAGCUCUCUCGUUCGUUUUGUUUUGGGCACAGGAGCGGAGCAAACCAUAGGGUAUCACAAGCUAAUUUUAUUUAUAGACAAAGUUCAGGGUUCAUAGGUAUAAACUUUUUUAUCAAGAUUCUUUUGCACCCACCACUUUAAAGAAGAAAAGAAAAUUCACAAAACUGUUGCACCAGGCACGGUAAUCAAGAAGAAGGAAACUGAAAACUCACUUAUGACCACAUUGUUUAAUAUUAGAAUUGAUGGAAGGGUAGCAACGUAAAUGUCUAUUUGCGCCUCUAGAAUCAGUGCAACUCUUCUCAAUUUUGCGAGAAGUGAGAAAACUACUGAACUCACUCGCUCGUUCGCACCCACGCUCUCACAUACCCCGAACCAAACAAAAGUUCUUCCCGCUCGCCCCUUCCUCCUCCGUUGUCACACCUAGAAGCAAGCAGGGUGUUAAUGUAAUGUAGAGUAGCUCCACAUAUGUAGUUUUUCUUUUCUUUUCUUUUGUAUAUAUAAUGCAUCUAGUGGAUAAUAAAAAGUAUUCAGUUUUCUACUUUACUUUUUCUCUCUCUUUCUCAUUCCUUUCUCACGAAAGUGCUAGUAGGGACACUACUUAAGCUUGUGAUGAUCUAAUCCUUUGCCAACAUUCAGUGUCAUCAUGUAUAUCAGAUUUCAGUAUGGUAUCAAAAGUGGUCCGGUGUUCCUUUCUUCUUUUCAUCUUGCAUUUUUUAUCGUUCUUGUUUCUAUUUUUCCUUUUCUUUUGUUGGUCUAUCAUGGCUACAAAAAAUAAUACCAAUUCAAAGAACAAAACCAGUUCAAAUGAUUCGUAGAAUCCAUCAAGUCCCUACUAUUUGCAUCCUGGAGAAAAUCCACAAAUGGUGCUAAUCAAUAUACAACUUGAUGGUGGAAAUCACCAUGCUUGGAGCUAUAAGUGACACCAGGUAUCAGAGCGAGGUUGUGGAGCCAUGGCAUCCUCCAAGGUUACUGGCCCAAGGCCGGUGUGUGGAUUCUUUUUUUUGGUAUAUAAGAGUUAGUCAAUACUUUUAUCUUUAUAUUAAUAUAACAGACUUUUUUCUUUCGGGUCUAGACACUUCGGUGAGUCUAUUGUCCCUCUUCUCUCUCCGCCAUGGACAUCUCUUUGCGAUUCACAGUGAAUGAAAAUAACAUUUCUUUUGAAGAAUAAACACAAGUUUGUUGAUGAAAACAUUUUCGUACCUCAAUCUAGUUCAUCUUUACAUGAAGUCUGAAAGAUGCAACACGAUGGUGAUAUCUUAGAUAACAAAAAUGAUGAAUACUUAAAUAGCCCAAAAUAUUGUCUACAUUGAAAACACAAGAGAAUUGUGGGAAGAUUUACGGGAAAGUUUAUCAAAAGGUGAUCAUUUUUAGAUUUCAGAUCUUUUGCAUGAGAUACAUUCCAUAAGGCAUGGGGAAUGCAGUGUUACUGAAUUCUUUACAUAAUUAAAAACCUUAUGGGAGGAGCUAGAAUCCUUAAGACCAACUCUGGAUUGUGUCUGCAAGAUUAAAUGCAGUUGUGCAUUGAUAAAAAUGUUGUGAAGCAUAGAGAAUCAAAAUACGUGUUGUGUUUUUUGAAGGGUUUGAAUGAUAACUAUGCUACUGUUAAGACACAAAUCUUACUCAUGGAGCCACUACCAAGUGUCAACUAUGCUUUUUCUCUUGUUAUUCAAUAGGAACGUCAAUUGAAUGGGAAUGCAAUGGUAAAUAGCAAAAUAUUAUUAAAUACUUUAUGUAGGGAAGGAAGUUGGAAAACACAUCAUAAUGAAGGAUGGAAAUCGCAUGGUAAAGGAAGAAAUCGAUACCAAAAUAAUAGUAAGCAAUGUACUUUCUGUCAUAAAUUGUAUCAUACAAUUGAUGAGUGUUACUCCAAACAUGAAUUUUCUCUGUGGUACAAAAGGAAAGAUGAAAAAAUAGAGAAGGUUGUCAACAACAGUGUCAUGGAGCUGACUAUUAUAAAUGAAGAAGUUGAUUAACCAGUCCUUGUCAAGAAGGAAGCCAUUUUACACAAGAAUAGGUACAUCAGAUUAUGAAGAUCACUUAAGAAGUGAAAAGUGAUUCUAUAUAGCAUAAGGUGAACAAUUUUGUUGGUGAAUCUUCAGAUGAUAAUGCUACAAAAGGUAAAAUGAAUGAACAUUCUUGGAUUUUGGAUAUAAGAGCAACAAAUCAUGUAACUUUUUCAAAAAAUAAUUUCAUUACUUUUUGAAUGAUAGAUUCUAUACGCAUUAAACUACCGAAUGGAUCAUUUGUCAUAGCUUAUCAUGAUGGAACUGUGAAAUUAUAUGAAAAUCUUCUUAUAUAUAAUGUUAUAUAUAUACCUGAUUUUUAGUUAAUCUGGUUUCAACACAAAAGAUUGUUAAAUCUUACAAUUGUAAAUUGAUUUUUUCUUUUGAGUUUUGUGAAAUUCAAGAUGUGGACUCAUUGAAGAUGAUUGGAUAUGCUAAACCAAGCGAAUUGUUGUAUUUGAUGGAACUUCCAAAACAAGAAGUCAUGCUAAACAUUACGGGAACAUCAACUGAUGAAAGAAAACCAGAAAAUGUGUGGCAUCUCAGACUCGGGCAUCCAUCUAACAAAUUUUUGCAGCAGAUUAGUAAUAGUUUUCCUUACAUUCAAUUCAAUGAACAUAAACCUAGUGAUGCUUGUCAUUAUGAUAAGCAACAUAAACUGUCAUUCACCCAUAAUAAUACUAAUGGAAAAAAUAUUUUUGACUUGAUUCAUGUGGAUAUUUGGCGACCUUUCAAUAUUGCUUCUAUGAAUGGACAUAGGUUUUUCUUAACAGUUAUUGAUGAUCACAGUAGGUUUACAUGAAUUUUUUUGAUGAAAACUAAAUUUGAGACAAGAGAAGCUCUAUAUAGAUUAAUUACCUUGAUUCAUAAUCAGUUUAAUGUUACUAUUAAAACCAUAUGAAGUGAUAAUGGAAGUGAAGUCUUAUGCACUAAUCUCUACAAUAGUCUAGGCAUCAUACAUUAAACAAGUUGCAUUGAAACUCCUCAAUAAAAUUAUGUUGUUGAAAGGAAGCAUUAACAUAUUUUAAAUGUGGCGUAGCUUACUUUUUUCAGUUUAAACUUCCUACUGUUUUUUGGUCUUUUGCUGUGAUUCGUGCUACAUAUUUGAUAAACAGAAUCCCUUCAGAAAUUAUAAAUAGAAAUACCCCGUAUCAGUUAGUCUACAGGCAACAACCAAACUUACAGAACUUAAGAGUUUUUGGUUCCUUAUGCUUUGCUUCUAGUAUACAAAGAGACAGGUCUAAACUUGAUCCAAGAGCUAUAAAGUGUGUGUUUCUCAAUUAUAAGGCUGGAAUUAAAGAUUUGUGAUUCUAGACAUACAUAAUAGAGAAAUAUUUGUGUAUAGAAAUGUGAAAGUCUUUGAGAAUUUUUAUCCUUAUUUUAGUAAUUACAAGCAUAAUCUUGAUGUAACAUCCUAAUUUUUACCCAUAUAUAAUGAAAUAAAAGUAAAACAAGCAAUAUCUAAUUACAAAUAACAUAUACUACUUUCUCAUAUGUGUAUCUCAAAAGAAAUAUCCCUAUUCAUAGGGAUUUAAUAUAUACAUCAAAAGUUUUAACAACAAAACAAAACAUUCAAAUAAAACUAUCUCAUCCUCCAGCUACUCACUAAGGAGCUCUAUUACCUGCAAUCUCAUCUGCUCCCGUGUAAAACACGAUCAUCACAGAUAAAGAAACAAACACAAACAAAUAACAGGGUAAGCUAUCUAUAUAAAAAGUUUUGAUAUAAUUCAAAUUUUAAAUUAAUAAGCAUAGUUCAUCAAUUCUCAUGCGAUUUCUCAAACCAUCAAGUGUCUAUUACAUUCAUAAAAUUCAUAUUUCAUAUGUCGGACUUCUACUGACUCAUAACACAUAGACUCUUGACUCUACUUCCGGAAGACUCGUGCGUUGACUUAGACUCAGAGAUCUGCACCUGUCAUACUAUCUCACUGUGAAAUCCACACAGUUAUGUGCAUAAAGAAUCUCAAUAUCAUAUCUCUCCUAGUAUGAGAGGGUUAACUCAUAUAACAGGUCAAGUUAGUUAUCUUUCAAAUAACUUACCCAUUCAUAUGAACCUCCUUCGACUCUCACCACCUGAAUAACUUCAUCUAUAUGAUUUCAUUAUCUUAGGAGAGUCAGGAUAUCUUCUUCUUCUAGACGAAUCCCUAGUCAAUGCACAUCCUAAACAAUCUUAACACGGUAUUUUCUUUCCUGAAAAUACUAUGUUUUGAUUAAAAAAUAUAUUCUAAACAUUAAAAUCUCCAACAUCAAACAAUCAAGUCAUUCCAUAAUUUAGAAUUUCCAAAACACACAACAAUUCAUUCACUAAUCAUAUAAAUGUCUUGAAUCAAAAGGAUUCCAAAGUGUAUCUAAAUAACAUCAAGUUUUACUAUCCAAAAAGAGAGACAAUAAAAAGAGAAUGAAAUAAAAUUAUCUUUCAACUACAACUAUAUCCAACAGUAUUUAAUAAAAGGAUGAGGAAGCCAUAACAUGAAAAUUAAAGUUUGAUCACCAAUUGUUAAACCCAACAACUAACUUAUCUUAAAAACACCAGAAUUCAGAUUACAACCAACAUAGGUCUCAAAAUAAUCAACUCAUAAUUUACUUUAAAAAUUGUCACCAACAAUUUUAGUUCAUAAACUAAAUCAUCAGGAAAUAUUCAAAAUAUAUGCUCUGAAAUUGUCAAGAAAAAAAAUCAUCACAAACCUUAUUGAAAUACAUUCAGUAAUUCAUUCAAUUCCAAACUUAUAUACAUUCUACACCAUCUACUAUAUCUAAAUGUUACAUUUCAAUCUCAAACAGUUUCUAAUCUAUACCAAACAAGAGAUCCUGCAAGAAAAUUUUGAAACUGGUGACCACGUCACCCCCACAUCCAAAUCUUCUAGCCUAUGGUUCGAUUGACAAUUUAAAAAUAUAGCUUCCCUUACCUGAACUGUAACCUAUGCUCACUAGGAGCUCCAAAUCUACCAAAAGCCUAAAGGUAAUUAACCUACACCACAGAGUCCUAAUCAAAAUCUAACUAUAUAACUAGGACCUUGAGUUAACAGAGAUUAACUCGUACAAAAUCUAAAACUAACUCGUACAAAAUCUAAUAAGAUCAAAAUUAACUCAAAAGAAAAAGGGGCCAAGAAGGAACUUACUCUAUCUGAGAUUUUGAUCCAACAAACUUAUAGGGUUCAAUACCAGGAGUCCAACGGCAGACUCUGAUCACGAGCGAGUAAGUCAGAAUCUUCAAGAAAAGGGAGAGAAAAGAAAAAAAGAGGAACAAAACUUACUCUAUAAGUGAUGAGAAUCAAAUAAAGGAGGCUUUUAUUAAUGGAGGAAGAGGACAUCCACCUUCACAUUUGAAGUUCUCUCAAAAUUAAAAGAAGACAUAAAAUAAAAGAUGAGGCCCAAGCCCAAAGCCCAAGCCCAAGAAGCCCAAAGCCCAAAGAGCCCAAGUCCAUCCCAUGAGGGGCAAGGCCAAGCUUUGAAAUACUCUUGUAUAGUUUUAGGAGGUGUGGUUAUUAAAUAAAGGAGUGUGAAAAUGUAAAAUAAAGUCACAUUGUCCAUGUGACUUAGGAGAGUGAUGUAGGUGUAGUUUUUAGGAGGUGUCAUAGUAGAAAAAGGUCACACCUCCCAUGUGACUUGUUUUUGGUGGGAAUUUCAAAUGAGUUUAUUUAAAAUUUCCCACCUAUUUUUCAGCACCUCUAGGCUAUAAAUAAAGGUGUUUAGCUUGUACAAUUCAGAAUUGAAAUGAGAGUAAAGAAACUAUACUCAAUUUUUGAGUGAGCAUUGGAGAGCUUUUGAGCCUUCUUCUCUAGUCUUAUCUUGAAGGAUCCAUGGUGUCCUCAAGUGGCGGCAGCACACUCAUCUAGGAGCAACCAUCCUUCUAGUGGCGUGAUCACUCACCUACUCUUCCAUCUCCAUAAGCUUUUCUCUUCUCCUUCCUUCCUACUCUUUCAAUUGUUCAUGUUUAGCUUGUGUUCUUGAGUUUUGGUUUGGUUAUCUUUCAUUUUCCAGCAGCUGUUCUUAUUCUUUUCUAUUUUGGUUUGGUGCAUUUUAAUUUCCAGCACUUCUAAUUCAGUUUGCUUAUCUUUUGUUCCAUUUUGUUCGGUUCAAUUUGACUAUAAUUGGAACUUCCAUAUGAGUUUGGAAUUGGUGCUAGUUUUGGAGAGUUCUUGACUUAGAACAAUGAUCCAAUUCUAAGAAAAAGUGCCUAACUAUUGUCCAACUCAAGUUGAUUCCUAAGAAGGUCAAGAACCUUUCUCUAUGUGGCUAUUGGAAUCACAUCAAUAAGAGAUUCUGAUCGGGCAGUCUUGUAGAUCUCGCUGCCAGGAGUCUAAUGGUGGACUCCGAUCGUCAAACAGAUGAUCGAGGAGGUCAGAAUCUUAGAGAGAAGGAAGAGGAAAGGAAAAUGAACUUUUAGAGAGAUGGUGGUUCUUUUAAAAUGAAACCUGAAUAACUAAUUUUCUAUUUAUAUAGCUUUUUCAAUUUAAUAAUAAAAUAUUUGGGUGUCAUUUUAAUUGUACCAUUUCAACUCUAAGACUAUUUUUCUCGGUCCUUACACUUGAUACUAAUAACAAUCAACAGUUUGAUGUUUUUGACUAUUCUUUUGAAUGAUAGUUCUUAAACUAGAGAAAUUUAUAAUCAACAUAAUCAUGUUGAAGAUGAAAGGGAAAAUGUUAGAAGCUUGGUUAGGCAUAGGAAAGCUCCUAGUUACUUACAGAAUUACCACUAUCAACUGUCUAACCAUAUUGAUAUUGAAAAUCUUAAGAACACAAAUAAAAAAGGCUUAUCCCAUAUCUGAAUAUCUUAAUUACAAAAAUCUGACCUCAAAACAUCAUUAAUAUACCCUGGCUAUGUCAUCUAAUCAAGAGCCUCAAAGUUUCAAUGAAGUCAUCAUAAAACUAGAAUAGUGUGAUGCCAUGAUGAAAGAAAUAUAAGCUUUGGAACAUAACAAAACAUGGAAACUAAUUGAAAUUCAGCAUGGAAAGAAAUCCAUUGGAUGUAAUUGGGUUUAUAAAAUAAAAUACAAUGACAAAGAAGACAUAGAACGUUAUAAGGAAAAACUUGUUGUCAAGGGUUAUACUCAGUUAAAGGGAGUUGAUUAUUUAGAUACUUUUCUUUAGUUGCUAAACUAACCAUUGUAAGAAUUUUCUUAGCUAUGACAGUCACCAUAACUGGUAUUUAAAGUAAUUGAAUGUUAAUAAUGUUUUCCUUCAUGAAGAACUCAACGAAAAAGUUUAUAUGCUAUCACCUUCAGAUAUCAAAGUUAAAGCUUGAUAGGUUUGGAAACUUACCACUAGAGUGAAUCAAGUGAAAACAAAUAAAAGAAGGUGUCAAGUCUUUCGGAACCGAGACAACUACAUUAGAAGAAUUAAUACGGUACACUUUUUAUUAAAGUAAAAUAUUUCAAUUGAUUGCACUAAAAUAUUAAAAUAUCUUUUAGGUAUUGUUUUAAUAUUAAAAUAUUGAAACAAAUAUUAUUUUGUUAGCAUUAUUUAUAUUCGUUAUUAAUCUUAAUUUUAUUUAGUUUACGAGUGUUAGAAGACUGUAAUACAAAUAUAUAUUAAAAAAUUUAAUCGAAAUUUUUAUUAUGAUUUAAAUAUAUUUAAGAUAUUUUAAAUAUUUAAUAUAAAAAUUUUACUAUUAUUAAGAGAUAAUUCUUUUUUCAAUCUUCCAAAUUUUAAGAUUAUUUUAAUUUUAAUUUGAAAGUAGUUUCUGAAAUUAACAAAAAUAUUUGAAAAUAUUUUUUUGCUAAAUAUUAAAUAAGAAGGUGUAAUAAAACAAUAGCUUUCUCUCGUCUUCUGCGAUUUCUAGAAAAUACUAAAAAAAAAACAAAACAAGCGAAAAUUAUGACCACGGUUUCAAGGUCUCUUAUUCUGCUUUGACUAAUGCAAAGAAAAUUCUCAAACAAAGAACAAACAACUAUUCUCCGCGUCUUAUCAACCUAUAAAUACCACAACUUCAAUCUUCAUUAACACAUCUAAACAGAGUUCAAAACAAACAUCUUAGUACCCACUCUUCUCUCUUUGCUGUCUUUAAGAUCACCAACAUAUUCUAACAAAGGUUUUUCUAAAACCUGCUUCUGAGUCUGACCUCUUUCUUCAUUCCAAUUUUGCAUCUCGCUAUGUUAGGGACUCACUUCCCAGGUAUAUAUCAUUGAAUAUCAUUAUUAUCAAUAUUACAUCUUUGACUUCCUUAUGUAUGCUCUUUACUUUGAUUUUCUUUCUGGGGAAGGUACCCGAUGAAGUGAUGUUUUGGUGAUGCAGGUUCAGCAUGCCCGAGCACUCCAUGCCUAAGGAAGCUGCCUACCAGAACAUACACGAUGAGUUGCAACUUGAUGCCAUUCCAAAACUUAACUUGGCUUCCUUUGUCACCACUUCCAUGGAGGAAGAGUGCAAUAAACUCAUCAUGGAAUCCAUCAACAAGAACUAUGUUGACAUGGACGAGUAUCCUAUCACCACAGACCUUCACGUACCUUCUCAUACUCAAACUAAUUUCUUUUCCAAUAUUUUCUAUAUGCUGGAUAUCAGAUACAUAUUACAUAUUUUUGGUUUUUGACCACCCUCAAUAGUUUGUUUACUUCUCUCUUGUGUUGUAUCUCUAAUGGAAACAGAACCGGUGCCUGAUGAUUGCACGAUUGUUCCAUGCUGAAAUUGAAGAAAAUGAGAAUGCAGUUGGAGCAGGAACGGUGGGAUCAUCAGAGGCCAUAAUGCUAGCAGGACUUGCAUUCAAGAAGAAGUGGCAGAACAAGCGCAAGGCAGAGGGAAAGUCAUAUGAUAAGCCAAACUUGGUCACUGGUUCCAAUGUGCCAGUAUGUUGGGAGAAAUUUGCAAGGUAUUUUGAGGUGGAGUUGAGGGAAGUGGAGGUGAGAGAAGGCUACUACGUGAUGGAUCCAGCGAAAGCCGUUGAGCUGGUUGAUGAGAACACUAUUUGUGUUGCUGCCAUCUUGGGCUCAACUUACAAUGGAGAGUUUGAAGAUGUGAAGCUCUUAAACGACUUGCUGCUACAAAGAAUAAGCAAACUGGGUAAGUAAUGUUCCACUAAUUUCCUCUGGUUUCCAAAUAAAAGUGUUACUAAUUUGGUAUAGUUGUGUUGUGAUAUUACAGAUGGGAAACAGGUAUUCAUGUGGACGGUGCUAGUGGUGGUUUCAUUGCUCCUUUCCUUUAUCCAGAGUUGGAGUGGGAUUUCAGACUGGAAUUAGUGAAGAGCAUAAAUGUGAGUGGGCACAAGUAUGGGCUUGUUUAUGCUGGUAUUGGUUGGGUUAUUUGGAGGAACAAGGAGGAGUUGCCCCAAGACCUUAUCUUCCAUAUCAAUUACCUUGGAGCUCAUCAGCCCACCUUCACCCUCAAUUUCUCUAAAGGUCUUUCUCUUCAAACCAUGUCUAUUCCUUCCACACCUUCAUUACAUAAUCAUACCAUAUACUUACCUUCUCAUCUUCACUUUCAGGUUCUAGUCAGAUCAUUGCUCAAUAUUAUCAGCUAAUUCGUCUUGGCCAAGAGGUUAGCUCCUAUAGUUCACUAUUUCAAUUAUAGUUUAUGCCCCUCUCCUCAAUUCUAUUAUGUUACCACAAUUCCCUUACCUUGGACUUGGCAGGGUUACCGAAGCAUAAUGGAGAACUGCAGAGAAAAUGCAAAGGUGGUGAAAGAAAAUUUGGAGAAGAGUGGACGCUUUAACAUAGUUUCAAAAGACAAUGGUGUUCCUGUGGUGGCAUUUUCUCUGAAAGACCGAAGGCAGUACGAUGAGUACAAGAUAUCAGAGAUGCUGCGGCGCCAUGGUUGGAUUGUUCCAGCCUAUCCAAUGCCACCUGCUGCUCAGCACAUAAAUGUACUCCGUGUGGUCAUAAGGGCUGAGUUUUCACGCACCCUUGCUCAACGCCUUGCGUUUGACAUACACAAUGUGCUGCAUGAGCUUGAAAAGG
rnacentral:lncRNA from 1 species